UGAAUACGAGAUGCUACGGCGUCGAAGCAGUCUAUGUCAUACUUCCAAGAAAAGCUUGCACUGUCAUAAACAAAUAAUGCCUGUACCAUAACCGACACAGGUGGGUAGGUAGAGUAUACUAAGGGGCGCGAGAUAACUCUCUCUAAGGAACUCGGCAAAAUGACUCCGUAACUUCGGGAGAAGGAGUGCCUUAUUUUAUAAGGUUGCAAUAACAAGAUCCAAGCAACUGUUUACCAAAAACACAGGUCUCCGCUAAGUCGUAAGACGAUGUAUGGGGGCUGACGCCUGCCCAGUGCCAGAAGGUUAAAGAAGUUGGUUAGCAUCCGCGAAGCUGAUAACUGAAGCCCUGGUGAACGGCGGCCGUAACUAUAACGGUCCUAAGGUAGCGAAAUUCCUUGUCGGGUAAGUUCCGACCCGCACGAAAGGCGUAAUGAUUUGGAUACUGUCUCAGAGAGGGGCUCGGUGAAAUAGACUUGUCUGUGAAGAUGCGGACUACCUGCACCAGGACAGAAAGACCCUAUGAAGCUUUACUGUAACUUGAAAUUGAAAUUGGACUUUACUUGCGCAGUAUAGGUGGGAGGCGUUGAGAAUAUUCUUGCGGGAAUGUUGGAGCCAUCAGUGAGAUACCACUCUUGUAAUGUUAGAUUUCUAACUUUGUAUCAUUAUCUGGUCAAAGGACAGUUUCAGGCGGGCAGUUUGACUGGGGCGGUCGCCUCCCAAACGGUAACGGAGGCGCACAAAGGUUUCCUCUGAACGGGUAGAAAUCGUAUCUAGAGUGUAAAGGCAUAAGGAAGCUUGACUGUGAGACCUACAAGUCGAGCAGGGACGAAAGUCGGUCUUAGUGAUCUGACGGUGCUGAGUGGAAAGGCCGUCACUCAACGGAUAAAAGUUACUCUAGGAUAACAGGCUGAUCUCCCCCAAGAGUUCACAUCGACGGGGAGGUUUGGCACCUCGAUGUCGGCUCAUCGCAUCCUGGGGCGGUAGUACGUCCCAAGGGUUGGGCUGUUCGCCCAUGAAAGCGGUACGCGAGCUGGGUUCAGAACGUCGUGAGACAGUUCGGUCCAUAUCCGGUGUAGGCGUUAGAAUAUUGAGAGGAGCCUUCUUUAGUACGAGAGGACCGAGAAGGACAUACCUCUGGUGUACCAGUUAUCGUGCCAACGGUAAACGCUGGGUAGCUAUGUAUGGAGUGGAUAACCGCUGAAAGCAUCUAAGUGGGAAGCCCACCUCAAGAUAAGUAUUCCC
rnacentral:rRNA from 1 species